rnacentral:rRNA from 1 species
AUUGAUCGCUGGCGGCAGGCCUAACACAUGCAAGUCGAGCGGGGUUUUCGGACCUAGCGGCGGACGGGUGAGUAAUGCGUAGGAAGCUGCCCGAUAGAGGGGGAUACCAGUUGGAAACGACUGUUAAUACCGCAUAAUGUCUACGGACCAAAGUGUGGGACCUUCGGGCCACAUGCUAUCGGAUGCGCCUACGUGGGAUUAGCUAGUUGGUGAGGUAAUGGCUCACCAAGGCGACGAUCUCUAGCUGGUUUGAGAGGAUGAUCAGCCACACUGGAACUGAGACACGGGCCAGACUCCUACGGGAGGCAGCAGUGGGGAAUAUUGGACAAUGGGCGCAAGCCUGAUCCAGCCAUGCCGCGUGUGUGAAGAAGGCCUUCGGGUUGUAAAGCACUUUCAGCGAGGAGGAAGGGGUGUGUGUUAAUAGUACACACCUUUGACGUUACUCGCAGAAGAAGCACCGGCUAACUCUGUGCCAGCAGCCGCGGUAAUAC